GCAUCGGUGGUUCAAUGGUAGAAUGCUCGGCUGACGGCUGACACGCGGGCGAUCCGGGUUCGAUUCCCGGCUGAUGCA